CCUACGGGAGGCAGCAGUGGGGAAUUUUGGACAAUGGGCGCAAGCCUGAUCCAGCAAUGCCGCGUGCAGGAUGAAGGCCUUCGGGUUGUAAACUGCUUUUGUACGGAACGAAACGGUGAGCUCUAAUACAGUUUGCUAAUGACGGUACCGUAAGAAUAAGCACCGGCUAACUACGUGCCAGCAGCCGCGGUAAUACGUAGGGUGCGAGCGUUAAUCGGAAUUACUGGGCGUAAAGCGUGCGCAGGCGGUGAUGUAAGACAGAUGUGAAAUGCCCGGGCUCAACCUGGGACCUGCAUUUGUGACUGCAUCGCUAGAGUACGGUAGAGGGGGAUGGAAUUCCGCGUGUAGCAGUGAAAUGCGUAGAUAUGCGGAGGAACACCGAUGGCGAAGGCAAUCCCCUGGACCUGUACUGACGCUCAUGCACGAAAGCGUGGGGAGCAAACAGGAUUAGAUACCCUGGUAGUCCACGCCCUAAACGAUGUCAACUGGUUGUUGGGUCUUCACUGACUCAGUAACGAAGCUAACGCGUGAAGUUGACCGCCUGGGGAGUACGGCCGCGAAGGUUGAAACGUCAAAUGAAUUGACGG
rnacentral:rRNA from 1 species